UUUUACAAUGGAGAGUUUGAUCCUGGCUCAGGAUGAACGCUAGCGGCAGGCUUAACACAUGCAAGUCGAACGGUAACAGGAAGAGCUUGCUCUUUGCUGACGAGUGGCGAACGGGUGCGUAACGCGUAUGCAACUUNCCUUCAACAGGGGGAUAGCCCGGGGAAACUCGGAUUAAUAUCCCAUAAUAUUAUUCUUUCGCAUGUUAGAAUACUUAAAGCUUUGGCGGUUGAAGAUGGGCAUGCGUCCCAUUAGCUAGUUGGUGAGGUAACUGCUCACCAAGGCAAUGAUGGGUAGGGGGCCUGAGAGGGUGAUCCCCCACACUGGUACUGAGACACGGACCAGACUCCUACGGGAGGCAGCAGUGAGGAAUAUUGGNCAAUGGNNGNAANNCUGANCCAGCCAUCCCGCGUGAAGGAUGAAGGCGCUCGACGUCGUAAACUUCUUUUAUAUAGGAAUAAACUUAGGUACGUGUACUUAAUUGAAUGUACUAUAUGAAUAAGCAUCGGCUAACUCCGUGCCAGCAGCCGCGGUAAUACGGAGGAUGCAAGCGUUAUCCGGAUUUAUUGGGUUUAAAGGGUCCGCAGGCGGACUAAUAAGUCAGUGGUGAAAUCCCAUCGCUCAACGAUGGAACUGCCAUUGAAACUGUUAGUCUUGAGUCUAGUUGACGUAGGCGGAAUAUGACAUGUAGCGGUGAAAUGCAUAGAUAUGUCAUAGAACACCAAUUGCGAAGGCAGCUUACGAAACUGAGACUGACGCUCAUGGACGAAAGCGU
rnacentral:rRNA from 1 species